rnacentral:lncRNA from 1 species
CCAAAGAGAGACCUGCGCCGAGAGAAGCGCGAAAUGCCGGAUAAAGAGCAAGCUGUCCGGCCGUCAAGACCUCACAAAGGACGAACAUCCAACACCCGAAAGACGUAUACUAUACAUCGACCGUGUCAACGAUAUCUGCCAGAUCUCUCGUUCUGUUCGCCAAACUUCAAUCUUGAAGAUUGCCACGUUUUUGAUUCGUUUUGACUAAACGCAAAUCAACAGCAAGAAGAUGCUGCCCUCUAUGCUCGUCCACUCGUAUCCGAAAAAUGGGACCGGGCUCUUGUUACCUGUAAGCUGGAGCGUCAUACGAUUAAGACUCACAUGCUGGACGCCGUCAGCCAAGCAGCUGGAAAUGCAUAGUACCCUCCUGACAGCUCCCGGCAAACUCGGUUUUCUUCUUCCAGAAGUCAAAGCUUCUUCCUUGAUUAUCACCCGUAACGGCCGUUAUAAUAAUAACGAGAGAAAAAAAGCCUAGGGUCCCGCUUUGCAGCUGACAAUCCGAUUGACUUUACUGCACGCACCAAUCGCUUCGAGUCCAAUCUUCUAGUUUUUUUGUUUUUUUUUUCGCGUUGUUUCUGUUAACAUUUCGAUUUGAUCAAUAACAAGCGGAAACGAUUUUCAGUGACUGGUUGCUACCCUUUUUCUCUUCGUUUUGUUCAUUGAUUCGAUGCAACUGGAAGCAGCCGCCCUGUUGUUUCUGUUUAUAUAUACACAGUGGUGGGCGGAAAGAGCGGCACGAAUGGCAGAAGAAAGUGACAGCACGAAACGUGAAUAUCUAUAGACUCGCGAAAAAAAAAAUGGCAAACGACUUGCGUAGGAAAUGACGUUGCCAUUUUCUAUGACUAUGAUAAAUUCUCCUGCGUUUUUUUUGUUGCAUUUCUUUCCUCUAUUGCUAUUUGUUUUUGUGUCAGGCAUUCAUUUAUUUUUUGUUUAUCACGACCUUUUUAUUGUCUUAUUUUGUUUCCCUUUUGCACUCGGAUUGCGACCGAAUCAUUCGCAAUCUACCCGAGAUUUUUCUUUCAUUUUUUUUUUUCCGGGGAGAACCAAUUAAAGUACUGGGGAGAUUUGGACGGAGUUAUCCGAGUAUUAAAAUAGUAAUUUAGGAACACCCACGUUCCGCUGUUGGGUGUCGAUUACGAUGAAAGCUCUUCGAGACAUGAAACUCGCUGUGCUUUUCGCCCUUGUUAUUCUCCGGCCGGGCUCCCUUUCAUCUUACACGGCAUUUAAUAUAGUAAAUGAUCGCGUGGCCUCUCCCGCUUUGAUAGUUGCCCGUCGUCAGAGAGCGUAGACAGACGAAACUGUGAAGGAUGAUGGUAAGAAGUGGCCGUUCAGACUGCGCAAAAGGAGAGAACGCAGGGAAAGUAGACGAGAAAAGGAAGAAGAGCAAUGACUAAUGAUCUCUUCUGCUGGCAUUGACAAGCCAAGAGACCGGACCCGCCAUUUCCUGUUCGCUUUCUACUCUAAAAACGCACGGAAGAGCUGGCCAGUUUUGUUGGCGGCUGCUGGCCACGUACCAAUAACCGCAUUGGAUCAACGACUAUGAACAGUUUUCGAACCAGCGUUCGCCGUCGAGAUCGAUACUGUACAAAAUGUAUUGGACAAACGGGUCUCUUUUUUUGGGGGGGGGGGACGUUUCCGUUGUGUCGGGGCGCCAACGUGGAAUCGGUUCUGCCGAUCUUUUCCUAAUAUUUUUAUUGUCAGAUUGUCCCACUUUCUCUCUCACUCUUUUUCUGCCGGUGAAAAAGCAGAUUAAACUAAACACGACACGAACCAUUAUCUUAAUGAAGCCGGAAAUCCUCCCUCUAUAAUUUAUUACUAUCUCUCUAUCUAACUGUUGUUAUAUUCAUUUAUGUUUAUUUCGUUUGGUUUUUUUUUUGUAUUUUUCUUGUUGGUUAAUGAACUACCAAUUUCUCUCCUCACUCCAUCUCCGUCUUUCUGGCCCUCCGCCUCUCGGCAUCGUCUUGUCAACUAUUACCGAGUCCAUCCUUCAUGAAAUUCAUCUGCGUGCGCGCUCUUCGUCAAUGACUCACGUUAAACGAUGGAAUCAAACAGCCCGUUCAAAAAACAAAACACACAAAAAAAAAUAAAAUAAAAAUGGGCUCUAAGACUAAAACUUUAGCCAAACAGAUUAUGUUCAACAGUGUGUCUAUGUAUAGAAUAUGUGACGCGCACGAACACACUGACGCUGUAAGAAAUUCAAUCCGGCUGUGUGAUUUUCAUUGCGGAGGCGCACGGCUGUGACCGUCUUGUGUUAGCCGAGUGAAAGCCCGGCAUUUAGUGACACACGACGGGCUCGCACAGCACAAAGAGAAACAAAAUUCAAUAGAGUUUGAAUUGUCGUUGUCGUGGGCCCGCUCACGAUGACCGGGCAACUUUGUGAUGUCACCUUGACAUCGAGUGCGGGGUUCAGCACCGCAGACCUUUGAAGUAAACAAAACAAAAAAAAAGUUUGUCUUUUUGGUUGUUGUCUCCUUUCGUAGCUUUUAUUCUUCAUUUCCCUCUUCUUUUCUUUCUCUCUUCGUCUGUACUUGUCGUUUCUUCGGUGCCCCGUAAAAACGUGCGGUUGAUGAUGAUUCCGGCCGCGACCGUCGCUCUUUUGUUGGGUGGCGCCACCGUGCCAACUGUGUAGACACGGUGCAUCAUUUAAUCAGAUCUGGCCAAAUAGUUUCCUUUCUUUGUCUCGUCACCAAAGUUGGACCAUUCCGAUCGUGUGGAUCUUCUUUCCUUCUUCCUUCAAAAGACGUUGCUGUCUAUAGACGAUCAAUCUUUGAAAAGUCUACUGUAGCGGUUGGUAGGAACGAUAAAUGAAACAGAAAAAGGACCGAUGAAGAACGCACGGUGGGGACACCUGACCGGUUGCGGUUCAAAGUUCACGAUCUCUUUUUUUUUUUGUUGUUUUUGUUUGUUAUCGUGAGCGACAUUGGCAGGAAACAACGGCGCGUAUCGACUCGAUCGUUUUCAGUCAAGUCCCUCGGGCACCAUCCGACCGGAACGCCGACUCCGGCUCGUUGCUUAUUUAGUUUUUAUUCACCGGCAGACGGUGCGUGUGUAUUGCCUUUUUUUAUUUUUCUUCUUCUUCUUCUUUCCUCUAUUGGUUUUUGUUAUUUUUUUGUCCACAAGUAAAAUAGCGCGAGGUAAGAAGUGGCAAUAACAGGGUUGCAUCCGUUUGCAAACACGAAUGUCAAAAUGAGAAAAAGGGCUUAAAAAAAACAUACAAAACUCAUGAAAAUCAAACUUUCAAUGUUGUGUGCGCUACUGGCUAAAAAUCGGCUUCAAAGUUAUUGUCUUGAUGAUGCGCUGCGGAUGUUUGUAAUCUUCAUCAGUCUAACUGUAAUAUGCAAAGGCAUCGUCGUAAUGUCGUUUCCUUUCAUAGUCUCCUUCUAUUUGGUUGUUUGACGACCCUUUUUGGAACACACAAAAAAAAGGGCGUAUUGAAGAAGAAAGAAAGGGAGAAGGGGCAUGAAGGAAGAUGAGUAUGAUCCACCAAAGAAGGAAGGAGGGUCGAGGUUGGCCGGGGUCAUGGGGCUUGAUGAUAUACACGACAUGCACAGCGCAAACCCUCCACACACACACACACACAAAAAAAAAGAAUUCCAGACGAGUCCCGACGCCAUUUCCAUACCACGGACUAAUUGUGUACACUAUAAGUGCAAGGUGUGUGUGUGUAUGCAUCCUCAUGUUGACUAUAUCCAGAAAUUAAACCGCUCUCUACACUCUAUAACGGUGUGUGUACCGCUGUUAUAUAGCCCCCUUUUUUUUCGGUGGGGAAGGAAAUGUAUUCGAAGGAAACCUAUUCUUAUCGUUCUAUUGAUUUGUCGGGCACGACACAAGGCAAUAGUCUACACGAUUCGAUGCUUUCCAGUUGCCUUCUUCUUCUAUUUCUUCUUUCUCCACCCUUUUUUUUUGUUAUUCCCCUCUUCUUUCCAUCUAUUGCCAUUGUCGGUGGGGGGGUAUAUCGAGACACUCACUAUUUGUGGGGUUGCUCCGGCAAUCGACCAAGUCGAAGCAAUAAACACCUUCGUCUCGCUUCUUGUCGAAAAGAGAGCCCGUGCUCAAUCUAUCGUUCGUGAUGGGAGGGAGGCACACG